rnacentral:rRNA from 1 species
ACUCCUACGGGAGGCAGCAGUGGGGAAUAUUGCACAAUGGGCGCAAGCCUGAUGCAGCCAUGCCGCGUGUGUGAAGAAGGCCUUCGGGUUGUAAAGCACUUUCAGCGGGGAGGAAGGCGAUACGGUUAACAACCGUGUUGAUUGACGUUACCCGCAGAAGAAGCACCGGCUAACUCCGUGCCAGCAGCCGCGGUAAUACGGAGGGUGCAAGCGUUAAUCGGAAUUACUGGGCGUAAAGCGCACGCAGGCGGUCUGUCAAGUCGGAUGUGAAAUCCCCGGGCUCAACCUGGGAACUGCAUUCGAAACGGGCAGGCUUGAGUCUUGUAGAGGGGGGUAGAAUUCCAGGUGUAGCGGUGAAAUGCGUAGAGAUCUGGAGGAAUACCGGUGGCGAAGGCGGCCCCCUGGACAAAGACUGACGCUCAGGUGCGAAAGCGUGGGGAGCAAACAGGAUUAGAAACCCCGGUAGUCCCAU